AAGCCAGCCAAGCUUUGGGGUUCCCUCGGUCUCCAGUGCAAAGGAACAGGUGUACUCUCACCUUACAUGGCUUUGCCUGGCCUUCUGAGCAGCUGCAGUCCAGCAGCAGGAGCAGCUUGAACGCCUGGCAACCCCCAGCAUCAGUGGGCACAGAUCUCAUUGCCCCCACCCCACCCAGUGAAAGGUUUUGCGACCUCUACAGCUUGAGACCACCAGCAAAGGCAGCGAAGUGAUGAACACCCAGCCAGGAGGCAAAGGGCACAGCUGACGUUGAGCAUUGCCGAGGACAACGAAAAAUGAUGUUUCGCUGACCUUAACCCAACCCUCCGUCCAUCGUCUUGGGGAAGUUCCAAGCUCUCGGCCUUCAGAGGAAGCUGUGCCUGGACCCAAAUGUGCUCUGUGUGCUUCAGAAAUCCACAAAAAUCUUUCCUUGCAGCCCCAGGCCUCAUGGAGGACAGAUGGGGGCUAGGAGGGUCAAGGGUGAUGGAUCGGGGUGCCAGGGAAAGUGGGGUAACCAGCUGAGAAGGGGAUUGGCCGCACCAGUAUAGACCUUCAUGCAGUCUGUAGAUGAAUUUCUUUCAAGGUGUGGGGGGCAGGUAGGGUACAGGAUUACAGGGAGCCAAAGGAGAAAAAGCAAAUAUGAUCCGUGUCAUUUAUUUUUGCCCAAGUUCCAGCUGGGUAGCAGCCAAGAAGUUCACAGAGGGCUUCGGACUUGCUCCUUCACAUCAGAACCCGUUUAUCUCCUCGUGGUGUACAAAGGAAUGAGGAAGAGGAGGAGAACAAGGAAAGAGAGGAAGAAAGAGAAAGGGAGAGGAGGAAGAAGAAGGUGUUUCAGCUGUGAAUGUAGGAGAAGCGCUUCUUUAUACCUGCCAUCUCAGUGCCAAGAAUUCGAAGCUCAGUUGCUCGGCCCCAAAGGACCAGACGGAGGGAAACCUGAGUUUUGAAGAUCAAGCCCAGCACCAUCUCUCUGGAGCCACUACCCACUUAGAUGCCC
rnacentral:lncRNA from 1 species